UAGGGAUGAUACUGGUUUCCUUCAGACACGAUGUUAGGUAUUCAGGCCAAAGAAGAGUUCCAUGUCUGCUUCAUCAAGCCAGGAAAUUCUGUUUAUCAUGACCUAAGGGUCCUUAAAAUGCCCUAAAAUGUUGUGUUGCCAUGCACUUUUUUGAACGUUUCUAUACACACACACACACACACACACACACACACACACACACACACACACACACACAACUAAAAGCCUGACACACAAUAACAUCAUCCGAGCAAACAGUUUCAUUUCGUUGCCACUGCCGUGAUUCAAUAUUUUCAGUCGUAAAUCAGAUAAUGACACGGAAGUGUCUGCUUUUCUCCAUCCAGCUGUGACUCCAAAGGAGGCGGAUUUCCUAAUGUGAUAAGUCACAUUGAUGGACAGCACUGAGCUAAACCCAGGCACACGGCGACAACAACAUAAGCGAGGUUUUAAACUCUAUUUGUUUACAAUGUCGAAAUCAAAGUUUGCCAACAGUGAUUAUCAACUGUGACUUGUAGCAGAAUACUGACAACUGUCAGUGGAUUACUUUACUGCUGAAGAAAUCUUUAAACCCAGUGGAUUCUAAGAUUUCUGUGCUUCUCCCGCCCCUGGUGACCUCCGCUGUCGCUCACUUGCAUUUACCCGUCCACUUGUCAUCGCUGUCCAGAGACAUGCAGAUAGUCUCUUUGAGGAGUGCAUAGGAGCAUAACUGAGGUAGGUGAAAAACCCUCUCUCCUCUCUGCCCGAACGGAACGAUUUAAGUGUAAUUUAUUGUCCCCAAAUGUGUCCGUGUGCAUUCACGUCUCCGUUUGGACCACGAACUGAGAACUGAUGGUGAAGCUGCUCCGACUUUCCAAGCUGGAAUUGACGUGAAGGUGGAAAGUUGUGAGUUGUGGAGUAACAUAACUACAUGCGAGGUGUACAAAAUUGAUUGGAUCACAGUUUAAACCAUUACUAUGGACUGUACCAUUAAAAUGGGUGCAAACAGGCCAAACGUGCAUUUUAUAUCGUGUUUUAAAGUUGUACCUCACCAUUAGCUGUUGAACAAUAGUUUCUCUUAUUGUAUUGUGAUAAUGUUUACAUAUUUUUAAUCUUUUUUCUUUUUUUUAGUAAUGUUGUUAAGUGUUUAUAUUUCUCCACCGCAGAACAGUUUACCCGGAAAUCAUGAAGCGGUGACCUAAGGAGGCAGGACAAAAGAUUUUUUUUUAAAUAAUGAAUGAAUGGAGUGAGAAUGAAAUGUCCUUCUUCGGAGUUUUAUACUAUAUUAUUGCUGUUUUUAUUUCUGGAGCCUUUGAAAAAGGUGAGAAAAAACUAUAUGUGAGUUAGGCUUUUUUUUUUUUUUAAUGGAAUUACCUUUUGUUUUUUAUAAGGAGAUUUCAGUUGUGGUGAUGUCAGAGGUCAUUAAGCUGAACUGAGAAUAAUGUAGUGAUACAGGUACAACC
ensembl:lncRNA